AUACGUAGGGUGCAAGCGUUAAUCGGAAUUACUGGGCGUAAAGCGUGCGCAGGCGGUUUUGUAAGACAGAGGUGAAAUCCCCGGGCUCAACCUGGGAAAUGCCUUUGUGGAUGCCAGGCUAGAGUAAGGGAGAGGGGGAUGGAAUUCCGCGUGUAGAAGGGAAAUGCGUAGAUAUGCGGAGGAACACCGAUGGCGAAGGCAAUCCCCUGGGCCUGUACUGACGCUCAUGCACGAAAGCGUGGGGAGCAAACAGGAUUAGAUACCCUGGUAGUCCACGCCCUAAACGAUGUCAACUGGUUGUUGGGUCUUCAUUGACUCAGUAACGAAGCUAACGCGUGAAGUUGACCGCCUGGGGAGUACGGCCGCAAGGUUGAAACUUAAAGGAAUUGGCGGGG
rnacentral:rRNA from 1 species